AACGCACCUUGCGCUCCCUGGUAUUCCGGGGAGCACGCCUGUUCGAGUGUCGCGAAAUUUCUCAAGCUUGGAUGGCCUUUUUGUCUGUCCUUAGCCUUGGUUGUUGGGCUUUGCCGUGUCCUUUGUUGGGACGGCUGGCCUUAAAAGCAUUAGCUGAUCCUUGUGUGGCACUGGUUCUACUCAGCGUGAUAACAGUCUGAUCGCUGAGGACAUCUUUUGGGAUGGCCAGUUCUCAUUUGGGUUGCUUCCAAACUUGGUUUUGCAGAUUCUUCAAUCUGUGUUCCACUUUUCAGCUUUGACCUCGAAUCAGGUGGGACUACCCGCUGAACUUAA
rnacentral:misc_RNA from 2 species